UUGUCAAAUUUAAGAAAAAAAUGACAACAUGGUUUCAAGCAGGAGACUAAAGAAAUGUCUUUCUAUGGUCUGUCGGCCAUUUCAGAACUCAGGAAAUGCAAUGGUCAAUUCAUUAGAAAUAUUUAAGA